GAUGAACGCUAGCUACAGGCUUAACACAUGCAAGUCGAGGGGUAACAAGGGGAAAGCUUGCUUUCCUUGUUGACGACCGGCGCACGGGUGAGUAACGCGUAUCCAACCUGCCUAUAACUAGGGAAUAACCUUGCGAAAGUAAGACUAAUACCCUAUGAUUUCCUUUGAUGACAUCAGAUUAGGAAUAAAGAUUUAUCGGUUAUAGAUGGGGAUGCGUCUGAUUAGCUUGUUGGCGGGGUAACGGCCCACCAAGGCAACGAUCAGUAGGGGUUCUGAGAGGAAGGUCCCCCACAUUGGAACUGAGACACGGUCCAAACUCCUACGGGAGGCAGCAGUGAGGAAUAUUGGUCAAUGGGCGGAAGCCUGAACCAGCCAAGUAGCGUGCAGGAUGACGGCCCUAUGGGUUGUAAACUGCUUUUAUACAGGAAUAAAGUUAGCCACGUGUGGUUAUUUGUAGGUACUGUAUGAAUAAGGACCGGCUAAUUCCGUGCCAGCAGCCGCCGCAG
rnacentral:rRNA from 1 species